GCUCAGUUGCUAGAGCAUGGCGCUUGCAACGCCAGGGUUGUGGGUUUGAUUCCCAC
rnacentral:tRNA from 1 species